rnacentral:lncRNA from 1 species
UUUCUAAAUUUGGAAAUAAAUUAAACUCACUUAGCAAUAUGUUUGGAGGUUUCCCAUUUAACCAUUCCUUCUUGAUGGGCAUUUGGGCUGUUUCUAUUUUUUCACAAUGACUGACAGUGCUGUAAUAAACAUUUUUGGACACGCUUUCUUUAACAUAUGGGAGCCUGUCUGCUGGAAAUAUUGUUAGAUGUGGAAUUUCUGGGAUAAACUGGCAGCCUCCAUCCCACCCCUCAUUCCCGGCACGAACACUGAUUCAAAACACUAAAUUUGCCAAGUGAAAGAUCUCAUUGGGAAAUGGCCCAGUGGAGGGACUAGCGAAGUGCUUCCUGGCGGCGCCCACAUGUUGGGCAGCUUCUGACAGUGCAGAGCGGUCACCCUUCUGUGUUCCAUGGACCGACAUGGGACAAGGCAGACUGUGUCCCCACAGAAAGGAUCCCACCAUGUGGAACGCUGUGGCAUCUUCUGUGUCACAGGACUGCAGGCCCCUGGGGGUGGCAGUGC